GCCUGGGCUAGUUUCGUCUGAACAAACAAAUCACAUGGCCUCGUUCCUGCUUUGAGAUUGGCUGAAAAACGCAUUGCUGAUGUCAUUUUCUACUGAUGAGUACCUCUGGAUUUUGCCCAUGAGUCAUUAUACAUACAAUGGCUGAAGAAAAAGGUAUAUAUUUGGUAAGGAAGCUCUAGGAGCACAAGCUGCUCAGAUACUUCUUGUUUUCUCUUGUUGACCACACACUGUAAAGAGAUGCUUUUAGGACCAUUGGACAGAGCCGUGAGUAUUUCCUUGUAGUCAGACUCUCAGUGGUCUAUAACAGUACUUGUGUGUCAUUCAGAUUCAGAAUUUUAACA
rnacentral:lncRNA from 1 species